rnacentral:rRNA from 1 species
GAGUGAUCGAAAGAUGAAAAGCACUUUGAAAAGAGAGUUAAAAAGCACGUGAAAUUGUUGAAAGGGAAGCGCUUGCGACCAGACUCGCCCCAGGGGUUCAACCGGCUUUCGGGCCGGUGUACUUCCCCCGGGGCGGGCCAGCGUCGGUUUUGGCGGCCGGUCAAAGGCCCCUGGAAUGUAACGCCCCCCGGGGCGUCUUAUAGCCAGGGGUGCCAUGCGGCCCGCCGGGACCGAGGAACGCGCUUCGGCUCGGACGCUGGCAUAAUGGUCGUAAGCGACCC